CCACCAGGCCUGGAGCAGAGGAGUGGCUGAGUGACUUCUGGCCGGGGCAGCUCUACAGAAUCCAUGCAAGAGAGGUUUACGGGCGGCAGUCUCAGGGGCAGGAAGCUUGGGGGCUUCACUCAAAGCUGGACGCGCUUCUAUGCAACUGCUAAGCACCUGCCAUAGGCUGGACAUCGAGCUAGAUGCGGAGAUCACACCACCGUCCCUCCCUGCACAUUAUUUGUCAUCCAACAAGGAAGAGGGAUGAGAAGACAACAUCAUCACAGCCAGAGAGGCAGCAUUAUUUACAAUAGCCGAAAAAUGGAAGCAACCUAAGUACCCAUCAGCGAAUGAAUGGAUAAAGAAAAUGU